rnacentral:tRNA from 1 species
UGGGAUGUGGCUUAAUGGUAGAGUACUUGCCUAGCAUGCAUGAAGCUUUGGGUUAGAUUCCUCAGUACCACAA